ncrna:Bacteroides clarus CAG:160 RT-7 RNA
UCGAGAGUAUUGCAAGUCCCGGUGCUUGCGGUAGGGUGAUAUGUAAAUUCAGCAAUCCACUGGCGGAGUAAUUUGCGUAUAAGGACUACGUGUUGUGCGGUUACGGCCGCCUACACCCCGAGCUACGUUUCCGUUAGUUAUCCACACCAGUCUGUAUGGGGACCGGGCGGCGUAUUCCGUUUGACAGGGGUAUAUCCGCUUCUUUCCGGUACAUUCAUUUCAGUGAUUGCUUUUUCC